rnacentral:rRNA from 1 species
GACGAACGCUGGCGGCGUGCCUAAUACAUGCAAGUAGAACGCUGAAGAGAGGAGCUUGCUCUUCUUGGAUGAGUUGCGAACGGGUGAGUAACGCGUAGGUAACCUGCCUGGUAGCUGGGGAUAACUAUUGGAAACGAUAGCUAAUACCGCAUAAAAUGGAUUAUCGCAUGAUAAUCCAUUGAAAGGUGCAAAUGCAUCACUACCAGAUGGACCUGCGUUGUAUUAGCUAGUUGGUGGGGUAACGGCUCACCAAGGCGACGAUACAUAGCCGACCUGAGAGGGUGAUCGGCCACACUGGGACUGAGACACGGCCCAGACUCCUACGGGAGGCAGCAGUAGGGAAUCUUCGGCAAUGGACGGAAGUCUGACCGAGCAACGCCGCGUGAGUGAAGAAGGGUUUCGGAUCGUAAAGCUCUGUUGUAAGAGAAGAACGAGUGUGAGAGUGGAAAGUUCACACUGUGACGGUAUCUUACCAGAAAGGGACGGCUAACUACGUG